rnacentral:rRNA from 1 species
GUAGGUGGCAAGCGUUGUCCGGAAUUAUUGGGCGUAAAGCGCGCGCAGGCGGUCCUUUAAGUCUGAUGUGAAGGCCCACGGCUCAACCGUGGAGGGUCAUUGGAAACUGGGGGACUUGAGUACAGAAGAGGAAAGCGGAAUUCCAAGUGUAGCGGUGAAAUGCGUAGAGAUUUGGAGGAACACCAGUGGCGAAGGCGGCUUUCUGGUCUGUAACUGACGCUGAGGCGCGAAAGCGUGGGGAGCAAACAGGGAUUAGAUACCCUGGUAGUCCACGCCGUAAACGAUGAGUGCUAAGUGUUAGGGGGCUUCCGCCCCCUUAGUGCUGCAGCUAACGCAUUAAGCACUCCGCCUGGGGAGUACGGCCGCAAGGCUG